AAAUCUUGGAGAAGUCUCCAUUCUGGGAACCUCCUCCUUCUCAUCCAUGGAAAGGGAAGAAGGAUGCCUGGAGUGGGAUAAAGAAAAUAUAGAAAAGGAAGGGAGUGUCUUCACAUCCCAGCAGGGCACAUGGAGGAGGAGGAGGAGGUGCUGACUAUGGACAGCAAGAAGCAACAUCACCAUCACAAAACACCCACCCAGGGCAGGGGCCCUUUCAACAAGGAGCAUAAGAGACUGUUUCUGCCUCUGAUGGAAGCCCAGCAUUUUGUUUUUCUCCACAUAUUUUAAUCAAUAUUUACCAAGCCAUAACAAUCUGGCUUUCACUGUCACCCUAGGGUUGAGUUUCAUGAGUAACUACCUUUUCCACUGGCUGCAGAAAUAAUGACUCCAUGUAUGAUUGGCAGAAGGUCAUUCAUUUGAGCAUAGGAAAACAAGCAGUUUCAAGAAAAGAGCUGGCAUCUCUGCAUGAGUGAAUCAGUGCACAUCUA
rnacentral:lncRNA from 1 species